AUGUGUGCAGGACACAUAAGCCGAGGGAGCUGGAUAGCUGCACUGAGGCAGGUCACUCCGCACUGCGAACAGCCAGCAGCUCGGCCUUUGGGCUUUCCAGGCAGCUCCUCUAGAUCGACUGGGAGGAGAGAAGUUAGUUCUCUGCAAAGCAGCUCUACCAAAACCAGCCCGGAGGCUGACAGGAAUACAGGUGGUCAACUGAGUGCAAGCUGAGAGAAAACAGGCCAGCCCUUCCCACUGACCAGUUCUCCUGAGGGGAGGUUUCCGGUUGUCCUUUCCUGUGAUGAGAGCACUUCAGAGUCAUACACUUCAAAAAAUCUGACUGAAGAUGCCAGGAGAGCCCCUGAUGACUGAGGACAACUCUUGAACCCCAACUGAACUCCUGAUUUCUCAGGACAGGCUGAAUCUUUAUUCCCUGAAUUAUCUCUGUAGAUGGACCAUACUACGCAAUGUCUCCCCAGCGCACUCAAAAUGCCUUUAAGCCCACUAAGAGCUGACAAAAUUCCAUCGUCGUGAUCGCUUCAACAUGGCACAUAAGCGUGAAGGAUAUCAGUUAUGGCAGAGGAAGCGAAGUCCAGGCUGGAGCCAAAGAAGCUUAGUGGGUGUACAGGCUCCAGGCUGAGAGAAGUACAACGUUUCUUCUUCCUCAGCUGCGAGCAGGGAGUUCACUCCCCCAUUGCUCUAUGUAUCCAGCCCGGGAGCAUUUACUGAUGCUUGUCCACCAGCAGAGGCUUUAGCCUGUUGCUGCACACAUGCACACACACUCAAUAGCAAGCUCCUAUCCCAGGAUUAUAGCAAGAUGGCAGCCCUGAAACAAAAACACUGCUAUAAGGGGAAGCGCUUGAAAAACAUUUGUUUUAUUUUUCCACUUUUGUUUUGCAUGACUUCCUACAAUCUCCUGAAUAUAAUCCAGACCUUCAGCAGCUGCAAACCAUGAUAUCAGGCGUUGAUAAAUUUAUUUUGUAAAAUAUCCACAGCACUCUCAUUUUAUCACAAUGCCGCCUGUGAGGAGGAAGGGCAAAGGAUCCGUUUGAAUUCCCAGCCAUCUUGCAUCUUCAGUUUCUGUGUAUUUUGCAUCUGGGGAAGCUGACAGUCUCUCUAAAAACUUUUUGUUCUCACAGUUAAAACUUGAAUCCGUGCCUUCUUUUUCUGGCUCCUACACAAUGUUUUGUGCUCAGCUUUCUUUUU
rnacentral:lncRNA from 1 species